rnacentral:lncRNA from 1 species
UACAAAGUGGCCUAAGGCAAAUUGUUUUACCCUUCUGAGCCUCAGUUUCCACAUUUAUAAAUUAGAAUACCAUCCCCUCUGCAAGAUUAGAGUGAAAAUUAGAUGAAGAGAAUGCGUAUCAGAUGCCUCUUUCAGAGAGAUUAAGAUAAGCAAAUAAUUAGACUACAAGGUGACAAGAAUCACAGAAACAUGCACAAGGUAUCCAAGGCCCACAGAGGGCUCUCAGCAGUCUGGUGGGUGGCAGGCAGGAGAGGGCCUCUGGCCUGGCUUUGAAAGCUGAGUAAGGCACAUAAUGGGAGAGCACAUUCUGGCCAACAAUGGCACAGGCUGAGGCACAGGUCCUGUGUCAAGGGAUCAACAGUAUCACAUAUUUGAAAAAUUACUUAUGUAUGCUCUGCACAGCGUAGGUGGGAGGACAGGCAGCUGAUGAGAAAGGAGAAGCAGGCUAGGACCUGUGUCAUGGGAGACCCUCAGGAAAAUCCCAAGACCAUCCUCAAUCACAUGUGAAGCAAAUGGAACAUACCUUUCUUAGGUAUGUUACACCAAGAUCUGUGUGCCUUUUCCAAGACAGAUUAAGAAAAUGUAAACAUCUGUACCAUGUGUGGUCCAGAGCCUCUGUUUAGAGUUUGAGCAGGCUUGCUGAACACUUCUAUUAGAAAAGAUAAACUCGCCUUCAGUUAAAGAAUUAUGACUGAGUAUCCCUGCACAACCCUCUAAGGUAAUAAAAGCAGGAAACUUUUGUCCACUACAUGUCACCAGGUUGUUCCUAGAGAACUGCAGAGUGACAGGGUUCAAACCUUUCACUAAACACUCUGAUGACCAGGUGAGCUGUGGCUCUAAGCUCUAAAGUCCAAAAAUUUUGUUCACUUGAACAAAAUUUUUGUUUUGACAAGUUGCUUCACUGCAAUUUGAACAGAAAAAUUAUUCCUAAUUUUCGCCUGUACCAAAUCAGUUAGAUCAUGAAGUCACUAUGUUUAAUACAGAGAUGCCAGUUUCCUUGGAGUUGAGCUGCUUGUAGAUCCAACAAUAAAAAAUGAACCAUUUGAAUAAAAAUUCAUAAAAGAAAUGUGUUAAGUGAUUAGAAAAAAGCUGUAUAUCAAUUAAACUCACAGACACUCCCUCCUGGAGUGGGCUCACUGGCCCACUCAUCUUUAGCAAUCAAACCGACUGAGACCACUCUCACUCCACCUCUUAUUUUUGGCCCUCUUCCAAUCUAGCUAUCAUUUUAAAAAUAAGCAAAAAGAAC